GAUGAACGCUGGCGGCGUGCCUAAUACAUGCAAGUCGAGCGAAUGGAUUAAGAGCUUGCUCUUAUGAAGUUAGCGGCGGACGGGUGAGUAACACGUGGGUAACCUGCCCAUAAGACUGGGAUAACUCUGGGAAACCGGGGCUAAUACCGGAUAACAUUUUGAACCGCAUGGUUCGAAAUUGAAAGGCGGCUUCGGCUGUCACUUAUGGAUGGACCCGCGUCGCAUUAGCUAGUUGGUGAGGUAACGGCUCACCAAGGCAACGAUGCGUAGCCGACCUCAGAGGGUGAUCGGCCACGCGGGGAAUGAGACACGGCCCAGACUCCUACAGGAGGCAGCAGUAGGGAAUCUUCCGCAAUGGACGAAAGUCUGACGGAGCAACGCCGCGUGAGUGAUGAAGGCUUUCGGGUCGUAAAACUCUGUUGUUAGGGAAGAACAAGUGCUAGUUGAAUAAGCUGGCACCUUGACAGUACCUAACCAGAAAGCCACGGCUAACUACGUGCCAGCCGCCGCGGUAA
rnacentral:rRNA from 1 species